AUUGAACGCUGGCGGCAUGCCUUACACAUGCAAGUCGAACGGUAACAGGUCUUCGGAUGCUGACGAGUGGCGAACGGGUGAGUAAUACAUCGGAACGUGCCCGAUCGUGGGGGAUAACGAGGCGAAAGCUUUGCAAUACCGCAUAAGAUCUAUGGAUGAAAGCAGGGGACCGCAAGGCCUUGCGCGAACGGAGCGGCCGAUGGCAGAUUAGGUAGUUGGUGGGGUAAAGGCUUACCAAGCCUACGAUCCGUAGCUGGUCUGAGAGGACGACCAGCCACACUGGGACUGAGACACGGCCCAGACUCCUACGGGAGGCAGCAGUGGGGAAUUUUGGACAAUGGGCGCAAGCCUGAUCCAGCCAUGCCGCGUGCAGGAUGAAGGCCUUCGGGUUGUAAACUGCUUUUGUACGGAACGAAAAGCCUUCUUCUAAUAAAGGGAGGUCAUGACGGUACCGUAAGAAUAAGCACCGGCUAACUACGUGCCAGCCGCCGCGGUAAUAC
rnacentral:rRNA from 1 species